UACAGAGGUCUCAAGCGUUGUUCGGAGUUACUGGGCGUAAAGGGUGUGUAGGCGGUUGUUUAAGUUUGGUGUGAAAUCUCCCGGCUCAACUGGGAGGGUGCGCCGAAUACUGAAUGACUAGAGUGUGGGAGAGGUGAGUGGAAUUCCUGGUGUAGCGGUGAAAUGCGUAGAUAUCAGGAGGAACACCGGUGGUGUAGACGGCUCACUGGACCAUAACUGACGCUGAGACACGAAAGCGUGGGUAGCAAACAGG
rnacentral:rRNA from 1 species